GCCGCCAUAGCUCAGUGGUAGAGCGCCCGCCUUGUAAGCGGAUGGUCGUCGGUUCAAGUCCGUCUGGCGGCUCCA
rnacentral:tRNA from 3 species